UAGCUUUCUCAGUUUUAGUUUUGAGAAACAGAUUGAAAGAGAGAACGAGAGAAACAAAUCGAGAUCUGGAGAAAGAGAAAGAUCGAAUGAGAAAAUGAUUGCAAUGUUGAUUUCCGGGUUUUCAACUUCUGAUCUAAAUCGAUUGAGAGAGAAAUAAACACCAGAUUUUUAUGAUUAAAUUUAGGAUUUUAAUUCAGUUUAAUGGGCUCAAAAUGAAUCUCUUCAUGAGCAUCUCUUCAAGCUUAGUUCAGGAAAAAUUGGUUCGUUCUUCAACUCGUAAUGCAUGCCAAACGGGGUUUGAUUCUCACUUUUUGUUUCUUGAUUUUUAUUUUUUGCCUUCUCGAGAUUUAGCUCGCAGUUUUCGUCUAUUUUUAUCUGAAAUAGUUAUCAUUGUUAUUCAAAAUUUUAUUGUUAACAAUAGGCUUUAAAUGAAAUACUUAAAUAAAUGUUUAAUUUCUGAGUUCAGUCUUUAGUUAAGAAAAACUAAUUCCUUGCAACUUUCAAUUUGAGGUAAUCUGUGUUACUUUUGAAUGGAUCCAUACCAUUUCUGUAUUGGUUAUGUUUACACUGCACAAUUUGAACAAGCAAUCAGAUUAUUUGAUCUUUUGCAGACCAAUUCUGUGAAACCAAACGAGAUUGCAAUGAUGAAUGUUUUGUCUGCUUGUUCUGGUUUGGGUGGAUUAUAACUUGGUAAAAAACUUCAUAUCUCUACAAGCAUCAGUGAAUGUUUAAUCCGUGUAGAAAAUCUUUACACAUUCAAACUGGUUGAAAUUCUGCACACAUUCAACCUGUGUAGGAAAUAUGCACACAUUCAAUCUGUGCCGAAAAUAUGCAUGUUCAAUCUAAUGAUAUGUUUUAAUUUUUGUACAUCGCUGGAAACAUGAUAAAUCUUUAAUUUUUGUACAUAUUGCUUGUGUUGUGAAUGUUAUAUAUUUCAUUUUUAUUCAUCAUACUUAAGUUCAUUCCACAAAUGCACUGUAUAUAGCAAAUUAUGCACUUUAAUCCGGAGAUGUUGCUAACCAAAACCAACAAACUAGUUUUGUUGGAUCGGCUGGUUGGUCCAUGUAGGUCUCUGGAUGCGGUUUAUGGAGCCGGCGAUGUUGAACUAGCAUUGGUGCAGUAAAUUCAGUUUACUAAUUCUUGCAAAUAUUCGUUUAUGGAGACGGCGGUGUUGCACUUAACAAUACAUAUAUGGUUAAUUGAGCCAUGUCUGUAGACAAACAAGGAUGGAAGAAAGAGAGCAUAGACAGUCCUCGUCAGACAGGAAAAAGUUUGGAUACAUGUUGAUAGGUUUCAAGCUUUUUAUUUUAGAUUGUCAAGCGAGUUUGAGUCUGUAUUUGUGAAAUUUACAAUUGUGACUCUAAAAGUCUGCUAAUGUAUUAUGAGUUAUUUUUAGAAUCUAGACGGGAAAAAGUUGGAUGCAUGUAGAUAGGUCUCAAGCUAUUGUCCGCAGUUUUUUUUA